CCCAAAGACAGGGAGAUUGCCUUUCCAGGAGUGCCGCGCUCUUGCCCCUUCUUCAGCCCAAUGCCACUCCUCCUCUCUCGCUCACUUUUGCCUCACAGUUCCUGCCACUCUUCAACCUCUUCUCCCUU